rnacentral:lncRNA from 11 species
GUGCUUGAGUUCUUCUGCCAACCAGACAUGACGGCAUUGGGCUAGGUGGCAGAAAGAGUCCGAUUCAGUGCCACACACUUUCACACACCUAGGCUUUUCAGGAGUUUCAUGCAAAUUAUAUGUGUCAUGGCACUGUACCUUAUUGACGGAGCACUUCUCAUGGGCAAUAGAACCAGCUGCCCAUGAGAAACUUGCAACCUGAUAUCCUGUUUCCAUGCCAGUUCAGAAAGUACAAACUGUUUUUAAUCAGGCAUUUCUGUUUCAGCUUCCCCAUUCCUGUCCUGUUUAUACUGAGUGAUAUAUCACACACCAAAGGCUCCACAAUCACACUUGAAGACAACAGAAAUAAACAUUCUACGAAAGGAAAUUCCACCUGAACAUCAAGAAGAACUUCCUCACUGUGAGAGCUGUUCGGCAGUGGAACUCUCUCUCUUCCCCGGACUGUAUGUAUAUAUGUUGCCUUGAAAGCACUUGAUAAGAAUGACAUCCCAGAUCCUUUUUACUUGAAGACCAGUCUGAACACAUUUUAGACACAGGAAUUGUUGUGAUGAAAAGGAAAUCUGUUAUCCAAAACUUGAUAUUAAUGGAGAGCAAUAAAAUAUGUGGAUUGUUUAUUUGUAGCCAUGGAUUCACUAGGUACUGUUAUCAUGACUGAAGGUGUUUUA